rnacentral:rRNA from 1 species
AUUGAACGCUGGCGGCAUGCCUUACACAUGCAAGUCGAACGGCGGCACGGGUGCUUGCACCUGGUGGCGAGUGGCGAACGGGUGAGUAAUACAUCGGAGCAUGUCCUGUAGUGGGGGAUAGCCCGGCGAAAGCCGGAUUAAUACCGCAUACGAUCUACGGAUGAAAGCGGGGGACCUUCGGGCCUCGCGCUAUAGGGUUGGCCGAUGGCUGAUUAGCUAGUUGGUGGGGUAAAGGCCUACCAAGGCGACGAUCAGUAGCUGGUCUGAGAGGACGACCAGCCACACUGGGACUGAGACACGGCCCAGACUCCUACGGGAGGCAGCAGUGGGGAAUUUUGGACAAUGGGCGAAAGCCUGAUCCAGCAAUGCCGCGUGUGUGAAGAAGGCCUUCGGGUUGUAAAGCACUUUUGUCCGGAAAGAAAUCCUUGGCCCUAAUACGGUCGGGGGAUGACGGUACCGGAAGAAUAAGCACCGGCUAACUACGUG